rnacentral:rRNA from 1 species
UGCGCAGGCGGUUAUAUAAGACAGUUGUGAAAUCCCCGGGCUCAACCUGGGAAUUGCAUCUGUGACUGUAUAGCUAGAGUACGGUAGAGGGGGAUGGAAUUCCGCGUGUAGCAGUGAAAUGCGUAGAUAUGCGGAGGAACACCGAUGGCGAAGGCAAUCCCCUGGACCUGUACUGACGCUCAUGCACGAAAGGCGUGGGAGCAAACA